UACGUAGGGUGCGAGCGUUAAUCGGAAUUACUGGGCGUAAAGUGUGCGCAGGCGGCCGAGCAAGUCGAGUGUGAAAGCCCCGAGCUUAACUUGGGAACUGCGCUCGAAACUACUUGGCUAGAGUGUGGCAGAGGGAGGUGGAAUUCCACGUGUAGCGGUGAAAUGCGUAGAGAUGUGGAGGAACACCGGUGGCGAAGGCAGCCUCCUGGGCCAACACUGACGCUCAUGCACGAAAGCGUGGGGAGCAAACAGG
rnacentral:rRNA from 1 species